ACAUGUUUAUAACAUAGCGUUAAUGCACAAGAUCUCGCUAGAACUUCGUAGUUAAGUGCGUUGGAGAUACAAAAGUAACGAGAUGGGUGACCACUCAGGAAGUCCUAGUGUUUUACAUGCC
rnacentral:rRNA from 1 species